AGCAGCUAUCAACCAAAUACAAACAACAGAGAUCAACCUGCACUAUCUUUUUUGUUUGCAGAAAAUGCUGCCAUCAGUUUUCACUCAUUUGUGCUAGCUGCUAAAUGAUGAACAGAGCAUGGCCACCACCAAUUCCUUGCGCUGUUCUUCAUGACAGAAAGCAUUCUAGAAGAUCCUGGUAACACGUGAAAGAUCCUUUUUUCCUUCCUUGACAAGCAGCUGAGCUCAUGUCUCAUCUUUCCAGCUGGAUACUUUAACACAUAAGCAACUGAAAAAUCCCAGCCAGUGUUGGCUAAAUGUGAUCCAUCUACCUUUGCAGACCUCCUUCUAUUCCCUUACAACCAUGCAUGUUGUGCAGUGUUGCAGCUGAAGACAAUCAGUUCUAAGAUGACAGAGGAAAGCAACAACUUUCCAGCUAAAAAAUGAAGUUAUCUCGUAUUCUGUCUCUGGUUAAGAGUGUACUUUAGCUCCCAUUUCAAGGUGAGGAAAAGCUAUAUCAACCUGAAUAUUAUCUGUAAGAUAUGUAAUAGUGUGGCAUUUGUAAUAAAACAUGUCUUUUGGCUUUUCUAUUGUUUUUCACUUUCUUCAGCUUCUUCAUCAGCAUAUGUGAUGAGAUCUACAAUAUGUUUCUGUCUCAUAGCUGUGAAAUAUCAUAAUACAAAUAUUGUCAUUUAUUUCCUUGCUCUUAAGUAGCUUUAUGAAUUUAUAAACUAUUAUUCAUUAGAGUGAAUUAAAAAAAUACAUGAAAAUCAAAUGUAUAUGUCAACAAGUGCACAGAAGUUAGCAUCAAAUACAACUAGGACAUAAAGAUUUUUAUGGUUUUCUUGAACUUUUUAGUGAAAAUUGUAUAUGAGAAAGAAACUUAGAAUAUACCUAUCCUUGUAGCAUACAUUUUAUAUCCACUUGACUUUUUAUGUGAUUACAUUGUGCAGUUGAAAUCUUUACAUUAAAAGGGAAAAUAAUGGUGGGACAUAGAAGUCAGAGGACCAAAGAAGAAAAUAUUUUGUUACUGCUAAUAUUUUGAUGUCUGUUAAGUAAGGAAUUCUUUUUAUCCAUGAAGUACUUGCUUGCUUUUAAUUUAUACUGCAUUAGCCUUUUUCAUGAAAGCAUCUGUUAAAGAUAUUGUUAAUAACAACAUCUAUUUAAGACAUUAAGUUUCUAACAUUAAUUUAAUGGAAGAUUUCCAGUGGCAUCUAUUAUAUGUUCCAGUUAGAUUAGUGUGAUGGUCUUUUAAUGAAUAUUUUAAUGGACAUUAUUAACCAGAAUAUUAUAAAAUUAAAGCUGCGCUCAGUGGGUUCUUUGAGUUCCUAUUGUAAUGUUAUAUGAAGUCUUUGAUUCUGAAAAAUAACAGUCUCUUUAUAUUUUAAUUUAAUUCAGUGGCAUUUAGCAAGAGCAAAAACAUGCAUCUAUACGACAGUACUAAAGGUAGACAAUGACAGAAUUGGAAUGUGUCUGGUCUAAAAACUAUCUUACAGUUUUGAUUCUGAGGGUGAAACUCUCCCAGAAGAGAGAGUUUCAUUUUUUGUAACAACAGCCAUGGCCAUGCUUUUUCUUCCCUGCUGAUAUGUGUAAUGUGUUGAAUCUCUUGUAGCAAUCAGCUCUGAAAAUAAUUGAGAAGCCAUUUCUUCAGAGAAAGAAGCACACUUUUUUAUAAGCUAUUUACCAUAUUUUUCAAAAAACUCAUUUUCUCUUGUUAGUUUCCAAGUGGGAGGGCAUUGUAAAUAUUAAUUCCAGCUGGGCUACUUCUACACCAGAUUCUAACUGAGGUGCAUUGCAAAACUCAGUAGAUUGCAGACCUGUCUAAUAAGUUCUUAUUUCAGUCAGCAAACAUUCAGUACCCAGGCAGCAGAAUUUGAACUUUCUCUGUAUUGAUUUUCUGUUUGUGAGCCACAUUUCUGAAAGUACAUAUUUUACCCAUAGAAAAUGUUAAUGUUCUUAUCAAUAAAGAGGACUGUUGGUCAUUAUCUUCUUAUUUCAGUAGCAAUUAUGAUUAAUUCCCAUUUUCUCUUCUGAACUUCCUCAUUCUGUUGUGGAAAUGUGGGAGAGAAGACACCUGUCAUGCACUUAAAAAACUCAGAUAAAAGCAUCUUGUAUAAUCAGUUAGUUGGCAUUUUGAAUAUGUCAUUAUCGUUUACAUUUGGGUGAACUUUUUCCUGGAAUUCUCUGUGUUUCUGAGUGCUACAUAACCAGCCCUCCAAAGCAUUGCAUAACAUUGCAUUGUUAGCAGAAAAUUUUCUUUUAACUAAAUGAUUUAAAUCACCACCAUUUUUUAUUCCUGAAAUCCUAAUGAUCUUAUUUGAACUGAAAAGUGCCAUUUUACAGAAUGGACAAAGCUGGCAGACCCAGUGGGAUUUCCCACUGGCUUUGUCUGCAUAUGUGAAUCCAGCCUUCACUGAAGAAGGACCAACCAUCUCUUUCUCAUCUUUCAGAAUGCUUUGUCAAGAUGUUCAAAUGAAAAUCUUUACUUUUUACAUAGCUCUUCUGCUGUCUGCCCAUAUCCAUCUGGCACUUUGUGAUAAGGUCAUGCCCAUAUGCCCCUCUCAGGUGAAUGAAUGAUGUCUGGAUGUGGAUCUGUGAGCUUUAGAAAACAUGCGUGUAGAAAAUAGCUAAGCAAGUAACAAACUAAUGAAGUUAGAGCAUAGAAGUUGCAAAGCAAACAUACGCAUCAAGAAGAUAAGGGAUUUUGUUGUGCAUCACAAAAAAGUCAGCCUUUUAAAGGUAUGUCUUAAACCAAUGUGCCUGCAAUAAUUCUUUGAUAAGUGGGAGGAUCAUUUUCCCCAUAACAGUGAAAUUUAUACUGCGUUCUCUAAUGUUGUGCAGAGAUGCAUUUGUUAAAAGAACCUGCUGGGAGGUUCUUUUGAGAAGAGAAGAUGCUUUUAUUUAUAAUCCUUGGAAUUCCCAAAAUGCGAUGGGGUACAAACAUACUUGAAAGCAGACUUUAUAAUAAUACGAGAAAAAGAUGUGAGUGUCUGCCGUGCUGAGCUGGUUUGAUUAUACAGUAAAACUCUUUAAAAACUGAAUUUAACAUCUCUUUGGGGAGAAGACAAGUGAAAAUGGGCCUUCAUAAUAUGCCUCUGUGAGAUAGGGAGAAGCUGGUUGCCACACAUGCCAGUUUGCCUGUGCUUUCAUUUUAGUUUGGAUGAAAAUAGCUCAGACUUGUAAACCCAGUGAGAGAAUGAAAAAAAAAAACAGAGUUCAGUAUUUCAAUCCCAUAAUGAACUUCUAAAUUUCCAUUUACUAGCCUUUUCCCUUAAGAAAAGAAAAAAUGCUUCAGGCAAGUUCUGUUGCCUGUCUUAUCUGGAGGCAAGUCCUCCAUUUUCAUUCCCUUCUCUACUUUCCAGCCUUGGAUCUGAGGAUAGGGCUGGGACAGGGAGUUGGAGACCCUACAUCUCCCCAGGUCCCUCUCCAAGUUCCUUGUCUCCAUCACUGGGACCAGACUAAUAUCUUUGCAGUGCUAUGGUCAAUGGUAAUGCAGAGCUUCACAGAAGUGCCAGCUGGCAUCAAAAAAAUCCUGUUUAAAAAAGCUCUUGAUGUUAUUUGGUUUCUUGAAUGGAGUGGGUCUAUUGAAACUGAGAAAUGUUUCAUGUGUCCUGGUUUAAACUGGGAUUGAGUUGAUUUUCUUCAUAGUGUCUAAUACGAUGCUAUGUUUUGGCUUUAGGAGAAAAACAAUGUUGAUAGUAUACCAGUGUUUUAGUUUAUGCUGAGCAGUGCUGCACAGAGCCAAGGACAUUUCAGCUUCUCGUACUGCCCUGCCAGCGAAGAGACUGGAGGUGAUACAAGAUGCUGAGAGGAGACCAAAGCAGGAUAGUUGACCUAAACUGGCCAAAGGGAUAUUCCAUUACCAUAUGAUGUAAUGUUGAACAACAAUACUGGAGGAGUUGGCCAGGGUGUGGGAGUACCACUGUUCAGAAAGUGGCUGGGCAUCCACUGGUCAGCAGGUAGUGAGCAAUUGUGUUGUACGUCAUUUGUUUAGUAAAUAAAUAUAUAUGCUAUCAUUACUAUUAUUUCUCUUUUUCUUUUCUGUCUGAGUAAAUGGUCUUUAACUCUACCUACAAGUUCUACCUUUUUUUUUCCCAAUCCUCUCCUCCAUCCCAUUGCACCAGUGGUGCACUGAGUGAAUAGGAGUGUGGUGCUGAGCUGUUGCUGGGUUAAACAACAGUAUCCUUGAACUGCCAUAUGAUUUAGGAUGGUCAGGAGAACAUGGGAGCCAAGUACAAGUGCCCCCUCUGUAUGGCAUGGAUGAAGCUGAAACCCUCAUAUUCAGGACUUGUUUAAAUGAAAAAUGUUGGUUGGAUAUAGGAUGCUGACUUCUUGGCUUGCUGAGCAGGACACUUGCCUGAAAUGCAGGUGACCCAGAUCCAAUUUUCAUUUCCAAUUCCAGUUCCAAUUUGGAUGGAAGUAGGACUUGA